GCUGGGCCCCCCUGGGGUUGGGGGGCUCCCUCCCUGUGCAUGGCGUUCCUGGCCCAUGCCUGCUCCGUGCGUUGCACAACUGCACAGGGAUGUGCACUGCAUGCCCGUACAGCACACGCCCACGCUGUGCAAUGCACGCUGCACAAGCCACGCUGCACUUGUGUUGGUUACACCACGCACUGCUGCUCACACCGAUACACUGGACACGUUGCCCACAUGCACCACAAAGAUGCUGCACACACCACACACUCCACAAACGCAUCACACACGUGCACCCAUAGGUGUUACAUACACCAGCAGCACGGAUGUGCUACACACACAUAAGUAUGUUACACACACACACGUAUGGCACACGCACACCUAUCACACACGUGGCUUAUAAACACACGUCUGUGUGCUGCUCACCCGUGCACAGACACUGCAUAGAUGCAUAGAUAUAUAAAAAUGAUAUUGUCCAUGCACACUGACCGAUUUACAACAGGGAGGUGGGGACCUGCCCUGUGUUUCCCUGUCCCAGCCUGGCCACGGAAGGGCUGGGGGGACCCGCUGAGGUCGGGAUCUUGUACUUCACUGCAGCCCCAAACUCAAGCCCAGGGUGGGGCCCUAAAGGGGACAGCACGUCCUGCUCUUCUCUGCACCCAUGGGAGACAGAUCCCCAGGAGGAUGCGUCCCAGAGCUCGGGCUUCACCCCCAGCCCUGCCUGGUGGCAUUGGAGCCGACCCCUGCUCUUGCUGCAGUGACUCCCAGUGAGGACAGGCUGGGCACGGCAGUGGUGAUCACAGCGCGGCGGGGCAGGAAGGGGCUUUGGGCCCAAGGUAUGUUAGCGAUUAACGGCGCUUUCCAGCGAUUCAUCUUGCAGCAGAGGGUGGAAACGUUGGAGGGUUGUUUGCAGGCGCUUGUAUUAAUCAUCCAGGCUAACACACCAUUAACGUCCUCCUGCAUUUUAAAGAUGACAAAUUUUAUUUGACUUCUCUCAAUCACGGUUCCCGGGCGGAUUCGGGAGCCACUUAAAUGCCUCGGAUUUUCCAUCGUUAGUUGUUACAAGGCGAGUUGCAAAGGCAGGAGGCUGGGGGGGCCGGGGCAGGGUGCAAGCAGGUCUCCGGUUCUGCCGGGCCCCGGCGGCUGGGGGGGAGCGGCCGUGCUGGAUCUGCCCAGCUUUGUUCCCCCCUGCUUUGUUCUCAGCUGCUGCAAAGACCCCCCUUCCCCACCCCCUUUAAAACAAGCGCCCUGCAAACAUUUGCUAGUGAUUAUUCUCCCGUUAGAGCCAGGCCUUGGGUAGGGCGUCGUGUCCCCGAUUUCCUUCAAAACAGCCGUGGUUGGGUGGGAUCCCCGAGCCCGGCUGACUGCCGGUGGGAGCCAGUGCCCAUCUGGGAGAAGUUCAGGGGUCCCACUUCAUGCCUCACCCCCUCCAUGCUGGCAGAGCAUCACCUGUGGAGCCCUGCUCUUCUUAGAAACCCCAGGCUCCUCACUGAGCUUCUCUCCAACCCUGCAAACUUCCAGAUUAGAGUCUGUGCCACCAAACCCCAUCUCUAGAAACACUCCUCAAAAAUACCCUUUUCAUCCCUGUAUCCCUUUAUGCAUUGCACAGGCCACUUACAGCCACAUCCUGCUGGGAGCUGUCACCUUGAGCCGUGCAACAGAAUCACCUCCAGCCUCCAGCUGCCGAGCCAGGUACCACGAUGCCCCAUGUGCAUGAGGGAUUUCCCUGGUCCCUGCUUACACCAGCAUCCCACAUUCCUUGAAAGAGGGGCUUCCCUCCUGUCCCAUUGCUACAGAGACACGUUGGCACAGAGACUGACAUGACUCGGUGGGUGAGCUCCUGUUCUGCACCGCGUCUGUGUGACAUUGCAGAUUUUCAGGGCAACUCCAGGUCUCAUCACACAGUGCCUCGUGCCAGGUCCGGCUAUGCCUUCCCAGCUGUUGCAGGGUGCAGGAGUUACUGCUCACUUCCAUGGGAGCAGAGGGAUUGAUUUUCCCUUGGUUCCCCCCACUGCAUCCUGAGAUGUCUGUGCAGCUUCCGGGCCAGCCAUUACAGCAAGACUCUCAAGACGGGUUUUCCAAGGUUGGGUUUUUUGCAGAUUGAGAUGGUUUUAAGAAUUAACAAGCAUCUGUUAAUACUUUUUUUGCAACUGAAAAUUAUUUGGGAGUUGGGGGUUUUAAAUAAUUUUAGUGCUUUUUCCCACCCUUUUUUCCCCUGUUUUAUAAAUGGGAGGUGGCAGAAGCCUCCCCAGGGCUCAUUAUUCCCCAUUCCAAGCUGGGAUCCAGCACCCAGCAUGGCUGUGCUGCUGCCUUCACAGGCAUAGGGGGAGGUGGGGGUAUUUUGGGGCAAAAAGGCACAGAGACACUGAGUGUCCUUUUGUCACUAUGGUCCAUGGUGUCACCAUGGGUAUCACUACCUCCUUGCUUUUAGGGAGUCACAGGAUGAGGACAUGCUGUAAAAAGUGAAUCCAGACCUCCAAAGAAUAACGCUUUUAUUGUAUAUCAAUAUAUACAGUAAAUAUGUGACUCCUCCUAACAUGCUCUGGAGAAAAAAACUGUCUGAAAUGGAGCUUAUUGGAAGGAAAUAAAUUGCUCCCAUAAAAAUGCUGAUCCCUCCCUACUUCUCAAAACUGAAACAAAAUCAUUUGCUGUGAGCUGAAGACAUUUCUUCCCUUGGCUCCUGGUUUUCCAAGAAGAGCAGGGAACAUGAAGGAAAAACAAGCCUUCCCCAUUAAAACACGCUUAAGCGAAACUCCAGUUUUCUCUUAAACUUUGCUUGGAAACAUUUGGAGCAGCUUCGUGCGAAUCAGUUCUGCUCUUUGAAAGGCCAUUAAAAUAAAAAACACCCAACCCAAAAUAGCCAUCUCUGCAAGGAGCAUCUUGUUUGGACAAAAGUGGUUUGUUUUACACCGUAAAUCCAAACACUCCUGGGGAAAUGUUGUGAAAUCUGCCGUGCUGGCGGUGCAGCGGCUCCAGGGAUGUUUUGUGGGACAUGCACAAAGCUGGUGGGUGCUGGCAAGGUGAUGGCCACCACCAGCACUUCACUGCUGAUUAUCCCAGCUGCUGGAGUAUCUCUGACUUCAGCACAGUGCAUUUUCCAUCAGGGUGAAGGCUUGUGGGGUGAGUUCUGGCAGGGAGGGAUUUGUACCAGCAUUCAGCCCCGCUGUGAUCUUGCCCCAGAGCUCCUGUGGCCUCUCUAAAGGGCCCAUCAUAUGCAGGAGCUGAGAACACUCACCCUGGGACAAACAAAAACCACUCUCCAACAAGGUGUUUAAACCCUUCUUAAAGUUUUUUUUUAACAUGCUCCAUGUCAUACCUAGAGCACAAAAAAAAAGGCAGUAAUUCCUAAGCCAGCAAUAUACACACCAGCAAUCCUGAUACUGUAUUUACAGAUAGAUAAGAAUA